rnacentral:rRNA from 1 species
AUUGAACGCUGGCGGCAGGCCUAACACAUGCAAGUCGAACGAUUGGCGGACGGGUGUGUCAUGUCUGGGAAACUGCCCGAUGGAGGGGGAUAACUACUGGAAACGGUAGCUAAUACCGCAUACCAUCGGAUGUGCCUAGAUGGAUUUAGUUGGUAGGUGGGGUAACGGCUCACCUAGGCGACGAUCCCUAACUGGUCUGAGAGGAUGACCAGCCACACGGGAACUGGGACACGGUCCAGAUUCCGACGGGAGGCAGCAGUGGGGAAUAUUGCACAAGGGGGGAAAGCCUGAUGCAGCCAUGCCGCGUAUAUGAAGAAGGUCUUCGGGUGGUAAAGUACUUUCAGCGGGGAGGCGUUACCCGCAGAAGAAGCACCGGCUAACUCCGUGCCAGCCGCCGCGGUAAUUC